GUUCAGAGACCAUGGAAGGGGACUCCGGUGCCUUGUGACGACUCUGAUAGGGCACUUUUCCAGGCUUGCACUAAGAUCACCAUCGGGGAUGGGUGCUCGGCCAAGUUUUGGAAGGAUAGAUGGCUGGACGGCGAGCCCCCGGCUAUGGUAGCUCCUUUGAUUUUCAGAUUGGCCUUAAAGAAAAACAGCUUGGUUAAAGACGCCUUGCACAAUGGUUGCUGGAUGAGAGGAUUAAUGCGCAUGAACUCUCACGAGGAAAUCCACCAAUUCUUGGGACUUUGGGAGAAGGUCCAAAAUGUGCAACUAUCAACCUCCAGAGAUAGCAUUGCCUGGCAUCUAUCGGCUGAUGGUUCGUACUCGGCCAAAUCUGCGUACCACGCACAAUUCCUUGGGCGCUUGCACCAACCAGAGCUGGCCAGUGUUUGGAAGGUGAAAACGGAUAGGAAAAUAAGGUUCUUCCUUUGGCUUCUGCUUCAGAACAGAAACUGGACUGCGGACAGAUUGCUAUUGCGCGGAUGGCCACAUGAUCCAAAGUGUAAACUAUGUGACUUGGUGAUUGAAACGGCGGCACAUCUCUCUUUUCAGUGCCCUUAUGUGAGGCGGGUGUGGCUUUCGCUGAGCGCUUCUCAUGCUGACCUCACAGCUACAGCGUUGGUUGCCUCCUCGGUGAACUCCUGGUGGGGCGCUUUGCUCCAUCUUAAGCCCAACAAAACAAGGAACAACUCGUUCUCCAUGGCAUCUUUUGCUCUUUGGAACAUCUGGCUGGAAAGGAACAGAAUAAUCUUCGAUGGAAAGUGCACUUCGGCAGCUGAUGUUGCCAGGCUUGCUAGUGAUGACUUUCGCCUCUUAGUUGAGGCAUGUGCGGGUUAG
rnacentral:rRNA from 1 species